AUUGAACGCUGGCGGCAGGCCUAACACAUGCAAGUCGAGCGGAUGAAGGGAGCUUGCUCCUGGAUUCAGCGGCGGUCGGGUGAGUAAUGCCUAGGAAUCUGCCUGGUAGUGGGGGAUAACGUCCGGAAACGGGCGCUAAUACCGCAUACGUCCUGAGGGAGAAAGUGGGGGAUCUUCGGACCUCACGCUAUCAGAUGAGCCUAGGUCGGAUUAGCUAGUUGGUGGGGUAAAGGCCUACCAAGGCGACGAUCCGUAACUGGUCUGAGAGGAUGAUCAGUCACACUGGAACUGAGACACGGUCCGGACUCCUACGGGAGGCAGCAGUGGGGAAUAUUGGACAAUGGGCGAAAGCCUGAUCCAGCCAUGCCGCGUGUGUGAAGAAGGUCUUCGGAUUGUAAAGCACUUUAAGUUGGGAGGAAGGGCAGUAAGUUAAUACCUUGCUGUUUUGACGUUACCAACAGAAUAAGCACCGGCUAACUUCGUG
rnacentral:rRNA from 1 species